CUCUCUCUCUUUGAUUAAGUCCUGACUUAUUAAUGUAUGAGGCAUACCCCUAACCCUGGGUCUGGGACAUGACUUUUCUCAAAACAUUUUUUUAAGCAUUCAUCACACUCACACACACACACACACAGCUGCAUAGAGGAGCAUCUUGCAGUCACGUGACCGGAAAGUACACAGACGCCAUCUUGUUGGUAAAGAACACCGCUGAAUACUGCUGCACUCGUGUACAGAAUGGAUCAAUUUCAACCGACGGACUACACGGCUCAUUUUUCUAAUGAACAGAUAACUAGAUAUAUGUCUAAAAUAAACGACCUACAGAUUAGUGACCCUUAUGGCUUACUGGACGGAGUUUUCACGACCGUGUCAGUGGAUAUUGAACUGCCAGUGGAAUACCCAGACGUGUAUAAUUACCCAGAUAGCAGAGGGACAUUGAAACGGCGCCGAUUCUUGGUCAGAAUGGUCGGUUUCCGUCGUAAGUCAGAAAAUCAACACUGAAACGGCGCCAUGAAACGUCGAUUUCUCCGCCAUCGGAGAAGGUCGAUUUAUCACUGUUGAAUCACCGUGGGUAAAGGUUGAUCUGUUGACCAUCAGAGAAGGUCGAAUAUACGAUGUUGAACCAUCGUCACUUUUGCCGGCCAGUUUUCAACAUUGGUAGGAUGAGCAACUAAUUGUUUAGAAUAUAAAUUCUGGCCCAUAGCCAGGGGGGAUCGGAGGGUUCGCUCGAUCCCCCCCCCCGGACACACACGCCCCUCAAGAUUACUCAAGAUUUAUUCAUUUGUUCAUGUCCAAUGAAUAUACAUUGAUUCACAUUUAAAUUUACAAUAUCAAAUCCAGACUAAUCAAAAAAGAAAAGUAGACUAAGUGAGGACGAGUUAGAAAAACGGGUUCAUUUCUCCUAUGUUUAUGUUUACACGUUUUGUUCAGACUGCUUUACACCCCAAUCCAGUGGGUGGCGGUAAUGCCCCCAUUAGACCCCUUUCACUGACGUCACCCGAAACUGGAAGUAAACAAACCCUGCGCCAUAUUGGAAGACCAACAAACUCGUGAUUAGGGGGAAAUAAUGGCAGCGUGCGGUAUGUGAACCCACGAGGCACUUGGUUCAUCAAAAACCUACAAUGGUAAACUUUUGUGCUGUGUUAGGGUGUUCUAACAAAGCUGAUGGGAAAGGUGAAAAGAAGUCUUUCUACAGAAUACCAGCUGUGAUUGAGACACAAGCAAACCAAGGAGCUUUCUGCCAGGAGACAGAGAGAGGAUUUAGCUGCUUUAUGCAGAGCGGAUCUGAAUACUUCAAGUCUAUUUUGUUACUGGCAUGAUAUAAAAAAGGGCCAGUACGUAUACGUAGCGAUAUGUCGUUAGAUGUCCCACGCUGUCCCAUAAUGCAGUGCGAUUACCACUGCUGUUUACUGGAUGACGUCAUUUUCGUUAUAUACCUGGGUGCACGUGAAACUCCCACACCACUCGGUUGGAUCGCGACUCUCUUGUGGAUCGGCCUGCUGUUACGCUUGGACCAUUGAAACAACAUUGAGAAAAACACUGGACCACACUACAUUUUCAUUCAUCCCUGGACAUCUGGUACGUACCAUUAUUCAGUCACUAUUAAUAAAGGGAAUUUCGAAUACAAUUUCAAGCAAUUUAAGAAGUUAUGAUGAACUUCAGUCAUAUCACGCGUUGGAGAAAUUUCCCUCAACUAGUAUCCAUUUGAAACAACAACAAUUCAGAUGCAUUAUUCAAUCGAAAAACGAGUCGAAGUAGUUGUCUUGUUGGAGUGAAAACUUAGCGUUGGUGUGAAAACUUAGCAUUUAAAUCGAGCAAGUAGGCCUAGGUUGCAUGUCGUUUUGAGCUGACCUGUUCUUUUGUGUAGCCUCAUUAUUGUCUCAUUAUUGUCUUCAUGCUACAUUUUAUUCUAUCAGGUGUCUACCUUAGCCCUUUGUGGAGGAACCGACGUAGGGGUCACAGUGAGGCGGAUGCUGCAUAGCCUCCUGGUCAACAGCUUGGCCAGGCAAUUUAACUGGGCUGGAAAGGGGGAAAAAACUGCGUUUAAGGACACCAAGAUCCAUGAUGUCCUGUUUGAUGCUCUACAAAAGCAGCUGCCAGGGAGCACACACGCUACUUUUAGUGACGCAAUCAAGAAGUGGCUUAAGUAUGCGCCAGAGAGAG